rnacentral:lncRNA from 1 species
CAUGAUCAAACUGUUUUUUUCUUUUUUUGUAAUCCACGAUUGAAUUUUUUGUUUUUUUUGUUUGUUUUUUUUUGUAAUCCAUGAUCGAAUUUUAUGUAAUCCAUGAUCGAAUUUUAUGUAAUCCAUGAUUGAAUUUUUUGAAAAUUUGUGAUUUUUUUUUUUUAAUCCAUGAUCGAAUUUUUUUUGUAAUCCAUGAUAGAAUUUUUUGAAAAUUUGUGAUUUUUUUU